CCUACGGGUGGCAGCAGUGAGGAAUAUUGGUCAAUGGGCGCGAGCCCGAACCAGCCAAGUAGCGUGAAGGAUGACUGCCCUACGGGUUGUAAACUUCUUUUAUAAAGGAAUAAAGUGAGGCACGUGUGCCUUAUUGUAUGUACUUUAUGUAUAAGGAUCGGCUAACUCCGUGCCAGCAGCCGCGUUAAUACGGAGGCUCCGAGCGUUAUCCGGAUUUAUUGGGUUGAAAGGGAGCGUAGAUGGGUGGUUAAGUCAGUUGUGAAAGUUUGCGGCUCAACCGUAAGAUUGCAAUUGAUAAUGGCAGCCUUGAGUACAGUUGAGGUAGGCGGAAUUCGUGGUGUAGCGGUGAAAUGCUUAGAUAUCACGAAGAACUCCGAUUGCGAAGGCAGCUUACUAAACUGCCACUGACAUUGAUGCUCGAAAGUGUGGGUAUCAAACAGGAUUAGAUACCCGAGUAGUC
rnacentral:rRNA from 1 species